GACGAACGCUGGCGGCGUGCUUAACACAUGCAAGUCGAACGGUAAGGCUCCAGCUUGCUGGGGUACACGAGUGGCGAACGGGUGAGUAACACGUGGGUGACCUGCCCUGCACUUCGGGAUAAGCCUGGGAAACUGGGUCUAAUACCGGAUAGGACCGCACCGUGAGGGUGUGGUGGAAAGUUUUUUCGGUGUGGGAUGGGCCCGCGGCCUAUCAGCUUGUUGGUGGGGUAAUGGCCUACCAAGGCGGCGACGGGUAGCCGGCCUGAGAGGGUGGACGGCCACAUUGGGACUGAGACACGGCCCAGACUCCUACGGGAGGCAGCAGUGGGGAAUAUUGCACAAUGGGCGGAAGCCUGAUGCAGCGACGCCGCGUGGGGGAUGACGGCCUUCGGGUUGUAAACUCCUUUCACCAUCGACGAAGGGUUUCUGACGGUAGAUGGAGAAGAAGCACCGGCUAACUACGUGCCAGCAGCCGCGGUAAUACGUAGGGUGCGAGCGUUGUCCGGAAUUACUGGGCGUAAAGAGCUCGUAGGUGGUUUGUCGCGUCGUCUGUGAAAUUCCGGGGCUUAACUCCGGGCGUGCAGGCGAUACGGGCAUAACUUGAGUACUGUAGGGGAGACUGGAAUUCCUGGUGUAGCGGUGAAAUGCGCAGAUAUCAGGAGGAACACCGGUGGCGAAGGCGGGUCUCUGGGCAGUAACUGACGCUGAGGAGCGAAAGCAUGGGGAGCGAACAGGGUUAGAUACCCUGGUAGUCCAUGCCGUAAACGGUGGGCGCUAGGUGUGGGUUUCCUUCCACGGGAUCCGUGCCGUAGCUAACGCAUUAAGCGCCCCGCCUGGGGAGUACGGCCGCAAGGCUAAAACUCAAAGGAAUUGACGGGGGCCCGCACAAGCGGCGGAGCAUGUGGAUUAAUUCGAUGCAACGCGAAGAACCUUACCUGGGCUUGACAUAUACAGGAUCGCGCCAGAGAUGGUGUUUCCCUUGUGGCUUGUAUACAGGUGGUGCAUGGUUGUCGUCAGCUCGUGUCGUGAGAUGUUGGGUUAAGUCCCGCAACGAGCGCAACCCUUGUCUUAUGUUGCCAGCACGUUGUGGUGGGGACUCGUAAGAAACUGCCGGGGUUAACUCGGAGGAAGGUGGGGAUGACGUCAAAUCAUCAUGCCCCUUAUGUCCAGGGAUUCACACAUGCUACAAUGGUCGGUACAGUGGGUUGCCAGUCCGUGAGGGCGAGCUAAUCCCGCAAAGCCGGUCUCAGUUCGGAUCGGGGUCUGCAACUCGACCCCGUGAAGUCGGAGUCGCUAGUAAUCGCAGAUCAGCAACGCUGCGGUGAAUACGAACCCGGGCC
rnacentral:rRNA from 1 species